AUUAUUUUCACCCUGCAGGGUUCUCUCCUUGUUAAUGCCAGCUUCUUCUUUCUGCACCCCUGAGGUAUUACCUUUAUACAUAGGUCUUCCAUCCCAAUUGAUGUUGUUUUAACUUAGCCUCAAGAAAGUGCAACCCUUUUGAAUGUAAGUAUCCUAUUCAAUGUCUCUUUUCUUAUUGCAUUUAUUUUUACCUUUGUUUCUCAUUUGAUUAUCCUCAUUAUUUCUUGGGUUGUUGUACCUGUAGGUCUGAGUUUUAC
rnacentral:lncRNA from 1 species